GACAAUCUCAGGUCUAAGGACAAAGCGUAUAUGUUGUUUAAAGAGAGAACUACUUCUCAUGUUGGGUCAGUUCUAGCACAUGUCUCCACAUGUGCCCACAUUAUUAGUUCAACAUCUCCAUGUCCAUGACUUGUGAAACAUAGUCAUCAACUAAUGUGCUAGUCUAAUAUUCAUGUGUGUCCUCACAUGAACUCCGACUAGGGAUAACUUUAGAAUAACCAUACAAGUAAAGAGUUUCACACACAAUUCACAUAAUUGCAAAUCAAUUCAAGUAGUUUUUAAAGGAUAUUCAAGGAACACAACAUAAAUCAUGGAUACAAAUGGAAUAUCAUCAUCUCUAUGAUUGCCUCUAGGGCAUACCUCCAACAGUCUCC
rnacentral:lncRNA from 1 species